GGUUAUUGCGAAGUGCCGUGGCUGCCGGCGGGCGCUGCGGGACUCUCUGCAAUGGGACCCGAGCAGCUCUAGAGGGAGGCGGCGGCCCCAGAAGGCCGUUGGCUGAGAGAGACCAGGAGCCCUCGGAGCCGCCGCGCGCAUAGCGCUGUGGAGCAAGAAGCCAACCGCAGCGCGGGUCGACACGCCAGUAUCUGGCACCGGCAGGAGGCGCGGAACUUAGCUGCCCCAUCGGAACCCCGCCCGGAGGAAGCUGAGGGCCGAGAAAGGAUGAAUUCCGGACCGGGUCGCCCAGCCACAAGUGGAAACCUGGGCUCUCUGGAAAACGUUCUGAUCUCGAUCUGGCUAUCUCUGAAACAAAACUCCAGCCCCGCAAACCUCCCAAAGUUCAGUACACGUCCCCGUCCUCACCCCUGCCCUCCGGGCCACCUGCAGCGGGGGACUUACCGGCGCCUCGGGUCUCCUCCUCCCGACCCAGCGCGUCGCGGACACAGCUGGCGGCCAACAGGAGGCUUGGGCGCUCGACGGCGCCGGAACCUGUGAGACCGUCGCUCUGGGCGGGCUGCCGUGCGGGGUGGCAUCCUCUGCGGUGACUUCUGCUGUCUUUUGGGUCCGCCAGGAUUCCAAAAUCCCAGGCGGGUCGCUAGAAUUAUCCAUCUUCGUGGACAGGAAGCCCCAGAACGAACCACAUCUGUCCCACUCUGCUUCCGCCCUCCUUCCCCUUCGCAAGCUCCUGGCUGGGAUGGAGACAUCGGACGAGCUCGGAGAUCCCGACCUCUCAGGGGUCACUCGCAGCCGAACAGCCUGGAAUAUGGCCUUGUGGGCCCUUCCCGCCCAACCCCCUAGGACCCCACUGCUCAUCUUGUCAACCAGUUUCUGAGCCCCUACCCUGGCUGCAGCACGUGCUCGCACAGGCGCGCUGAGCUACUAACAUAGAAUCAAAAGCAGGGAGUUGGGUGUUCUUGCUUUCCCGCUGAAACCUAGAAUGUAAACAAGCCCUAGACCGUCAGCUGUGGGUGGGUAGGGGCCUCUCCCUGCCUAGAACUGCUCUUGCCAUGGGUAGGCACCUAACCCGUAUUAGUAAGAAUGAAGGAAUGCAUGCUCAUAACAAGAAAGGGGUCAACCUGCUGCCCUGAUACUCACCUUCACCACUUACGUCUUGCUUCCAGCGCAAGCCCACUUCAGACCAUUGCCUCAUUCAGGUCCCAGAAGUCCUAAGGGUUUUAGUCUCUCAGUAUGGGCAAUUAUUCACAUGUAAGGGAGCUGCAAGGUGUUAUUUCAAUGCCAUCUGGCCUCUAUAAGGUCUUGCAUCAUAGCUGACCUCUCAUGAGAAGGUUCUGAUGAGGUCACCAGGGAGAAGGAAUGUAAAGGGCUGGUGGCUGAAAAGGAGUGAAAUGGCCCCUCUUAGGUGAGCUCUGGCCUGGUUUGAGUUUCAAUUCUGUCUCCUCAGCUCCAUUUCUCAAUGGGAAAAGGUCCAUAGGAAGGUUGUCAGAAGGGCAGGAGACUAGGGCAGGGAUAGCCCUUUGCAGACCCUGAAAAAUUGCUCAGUAAUGCAAACAUUGUCCAUAUUUAAGUUCUUUCUUUUCUUUUCUUUUUUUUUUGAGGCAGAGUCUCACUCUGUCGCCCAGGCUGGAGUGCUAUGGCUUGGCUCACUGCAAGCUCCGCCUCCUGGGUUCACGCCAUUCUCCUGCCUCAGCCUCCCAAGUAGCUGGGACUACAGGCGCCCGCCACUACGCCCGGCUAAUUUUUCGUAUUUUCAGUAGAGACGGGGUUUCACCGUGUUAAUCAGGAUGGUCUCGAUCUCCUGACCUUGUGAUCCGCCCGCCUCGGCCUCCCAAAGUGCUGGGAUUAGAGGCGUGAGCCACUGCGCCCAGCCUUAAGUUCUUUAUUUUCUAUCUUGUGGACCAAAGGACUGCUACAGGCAAGGAAGACCAUCUGACUCAAUUCCAGAGGUUCCUUAGCAUGCUGCUGACUGGCCUAGGAGAAUGGCCUUUGCCCAUAAAGUAUUAGAUGUAGACCACAUGAAUGGAAUAUUCACCAGGUUUCUGCCCAGGUCUGGAUUGGGCAAGGACAUGGCUGGAGGUGCCUUACAGGAGAGAAGGCCAAAGAGAGAGAAGACUUGACUCCCAACCUGAUUCCAGCAGAACUCCACUUUGAUGUGUUUUUAAAAUUGUGCUCUUCUGUUUGCUUUCACGGAGGCUGCCAUGAAACGUCAUCUUUGACUAGAAUUAUCAGGAAAUGCUCAUGGAAGAAAUAUACUUCCUUGGAUUUUUUUUCCUACCACACUUCAGGAUAUAACUAGAGAAAACAUUUGCCAACAGUGCUUAUCAUAUUAGUACCCUGUGAAGGUUUUCAUAGAUGCUGAUUAUUAUUUUUAAAAUCAUUUCGGGAAUAGGAGCCAAACACUAGGUCAUGACUGUACUUACUUUAGUAUUUACAUUAAGUGAUGAAAAAUGGAAAUAAAGGAAAUGUCCUGUCAUGAAACAAGUUAGAAUUAGGUGACUUUCAUGUCCUGAUUUCCAAGGUUUUCUGUUUGUUUCAGACAGACAAGAUCAUCCAUGGGUUCUUGGACAAGUAAUAGGUCUCAUUUUCCCUUGUAGACCAGAAGACAUGGAAAAGACAGCAUAUUCGGACUAUAUUCAUAUUUCCAUACCAUCUUUUGUUGUAAUUGAUUUUCAACAAGAGCCCCUAACAAUCUCUUGAGUUUGGGCCAUCCCCAUAUUCUACAAGGGAAAAUGAGAUCUCUUACUACUCCAAUAACCCAUGCUUACACUAUCUGUAUGGAACAAACAGAGAACCAUCAAAAUCUGAACGCAGAAGUCACUUAUUUAGUCCCAAUCUAUUUUGUGAAAGAAAAUUUCUUUUACUCAAAGAGAUGAAGAAAUUUACGGAAUGGCUUGGGAAUGAGAAGAUUCAGGUGGGACCAUGGAAGCAAAGCUUGUUCUUUUGUGGAUGUCAUUGGUUUAUUCUUCACAGCACACCUGGGGAGUACAUCUGUGCAUUUAUCCUCUGUUCACAGCUGAGGCAACUGAGACUGAAACAGGCAAAGUGGUUUGUCCAAGAGCAAAGCCAGGGGCAGGGAAGUUUGAAAGAAAGAAAAAUAUGCCAAGAUGAUUAAGUUUCACCUAAGAUUUUAAAGCUCCCACCUAAAAGAUGUGGAAAACAAGCACUAUACCAGGAUAUUGUACCUUAUUUCUGCCCUGUCUUAAAAACACCAUGACAUUUUCCUUGAUUUCAAGAAUACAGAAAAUGAACAUGGUCCUUUAAAUUAUGUGACUCUUUCGAAGCAAAAUGACAACAAGGAAAAACCACAUUUGUUUUCUGCCUCCCUUUUUCAAGAAGCUGAAAAUAUAGUGUAAAUGAACUCUUGGUCGUGGGUCAACAUCCUUACAAUACCUGCCCCUCGUUCUCAGGUUAGAGAUUUCUCCUCUGCCUUUUCAUUCUCACCCACACCCAACUUGAAAUAGGUCUCCAGGUCCCAUUUUGAUCACAUAUUCUUUCAGUCACAUGCGGAACAUGAGAAGGGGUUAAAUGUAGCUCUGCAAGACCAGCAAAACUCAUCACUAAACUGGAAAACAACUUCAGGCUUACUAUCAACAGGGGGUAGUUAGCAUCAGUUUAAAGACUGUGAAUGUGCACAAAUGUUUUCUAAGAAUAUUUUUCAGAAGAGUGUAAUUAUAGGUAUAAUCUCUAAUUGCAUUAUAAAUGAUAAAUAAGAGACGGUUAGCAAACUAUAUUUCAGGGCUGUUUGCUGUACUUAUCUGCUGCCAUCACUGGCCCUGUCUUCCUUUGUGACUGCAGACUGUGUUGUUUAUUAGUCUUGGUGGUAAGGGGGAAUUGCUGUACAGUACUUUUGUGUUAGGACAGGAUCUUACAGAUGAUAAUGAAGGUUGCAGGAAGGACUGUUGAAACGUUUUAUUUUGGUAUUUGUUUCAUUUUUAAAGGCUGUGACUAGGACUUCAUACCUGUCUAAUAAGCAUGCAUGUAACAUUUUUAUAUUUGCUGAGUGCUUCAUAGUCCUCCAUUAGUCCCCACAAUACCCCUUGAGGGUAGGUCAGUAUUACAGUUUACAAUAUGAGGAAAUUUAAGAUACAAAGGGAUUAUGUGAUUUGUACAAGGUCACCCAGCAUGCAAGCCUAGCUAAUAAAAUAUGACUACAAAGCUCUUUCCAAAUAAAAAGUACCUUAUAAAUGUUAGGUAGUAUUAAUGGGUAUGAUCCCAGAAUGAGUAAAAUACUCUUCAGGAGUAAAGUGCUCAUACAUGGUAUAUAAUAUUAAUUCUCUCUCUUUUUUUUUUUUUUUUUUUAACCUGUGGGUGACUUUUGAAAUAGUUAUUCUUGAACCUGGCUAUGCAUCAGAAAUGUCUCUAGAGUUUUUAGAACAUGUGAGCACAUAGACCCCUACUCAGCCGACAGAAUCAUAAUCUGGGCAGUGGGAUUUAGAUAAUUAUGCCUUGAAAAAUCUCCAUGGGGGAUUUGGAUGCUCAGUCAGAGCUGAGAACCACUACUCUAGGCUAGAAGAGUAACAUCGGUCAGGCCAAGAGCAACAACAAAACACUGUGGAGUUAAUUCAGAAGAGAAAGUCUGGUGUCUUCCAGGCCUCUGUCCAGCCAGUUCACAACUAUUAUUAGCAGAGGAACUGCCUCCCUGAAAUAAUCAACUGUAAUAACCAUGUGUGAAAUUCCCGGAAAUAGUGCAGAGAUUAAAGUUUAUUUAAGAACCGUCAGUUUUUGAAAGUUAUAAUUUACUGGGUAAAUUUACUGGCACACCCUUGGUUUAUUACUGUGCUUAGUGUUUUUAUUCUGAAUACUUUGUACUUCUUCAUAAUCAACAUGGUAAGAACCUAUAAUAUCUGCCCAUUCAUCCAUCUGCCAAACACUUAUUGAAUACUUGCUGUAUGGAAAUUUCAGAGUGAAAAUAAUGAUCUUUUUCCAGAAGUUUAUAAUCAAGUGAUAAAAACAGACACAGGCAAAACCAACCAACCAAACAAAAACCUGAAGCCACACAUAUGAUAAUAAAAAGUAUAAUCAAAGUGUUAGAUGAGGCAUUAUUCAUAAUUGCUAAAAAGUGGAAACAGCUCAAAUAUCCAUCAACUGAUAAAUGGAUAAAUGUGGUAUACCCACACAAUGAAGUAUUAUUAUUAUUCAAACAAUGAAGUGGAAUGUAUACUGAUAAUGCUACAAUAUGGAUGGAUCUUAAAAACACUAUGCUAAGUGAGAGAAGCCAGUCACAAACGUGGUAUUCCCAUACAAUGAACUAUUAUUAUUAUUAUUAUUAAACAAUGAAGUGGAAUGUAGUACUGAUACAUGCUACAACAUGGAUGGAUCUUAAAAACGCUAUGUUAAGUGAGAGACACCAGUCACAAAGGACCACAUAUCGUAUGAUUCCAUUUAUAUGAAAUGUCUUGAAUAGGCAAAUCUGUAGAGACAGAAAACAGAUGGUUGCCUAGGGCUGGGGAUGGGGAAGGAUGGAGGAAAUGGGUGACUGCUAGUGGGUACAGGGUUUCUUUUUGGAGUGACGAAAUGUCCUAAAAUUGAUUGUGGUGACAGCUGCACAACUUCGUUGACUAUACUAAAAACCGUUCAAUUGUACGCUUUAAAUGGGUGAAUUGUAUGAUAUGCAAAUUGUAUCUCUAAUAAAGACAAUGGAAGAUAGAUAGAUAGAUAGAUAGAUAGAUAGAUAGAUAGAUAGAGCUGUAUGAACUUGGAGGAAAGAGAGAUUAAUUAAUUUGGAUUGGAAGAAAGUCGUGGGAAAUUUCCUGGAGGAAAUGAUAUUUGAGCUGACUCAAAAAGGAUGAUUUUUGUAAGAUGGUGUGGAUGAAAGGAGGGAAGGUAUGCUCAAAGAGACACUCAAAGUGAGGGUGCUUUCAUGCAAGGGCAAGUUAUCUGGAAUAGACAAGAGUUUAAGAUGCAUGAAGGAUACAGUAGAUGGAGGCUAGAUGCAGGGCUUUUACUGUCAUGCUAAGUUCUGUGGUUUGGUUUUCAUUUUUGUAGGCAAUGGAAAGCCACGAUAGGUCUGUGAGUGGAUGAUCAGACCUGUGAUUUGGAAGGAUAAUUAGAAGUGGUGAUGAGGUAGAUAGAAGAUGGCAUAGGAGAGCAGUGAGUAAGGGAGGCCAUUUAGGAGGCAAAGGCAUUGCAAUGUGUAGGUGAGAGAUGAAGAAGCCUUCGACUACUGCAAAAGCCGUGAGGACUGAAACAAGGAGACAGAUUUUUUUUUUUUAGUAGAGUCAGGGCACUAUGUUGCCCAGGGUGGUCUUGAACUCCUGGGCUCAAGCAAUCCUCCCACCUCAAUCCUCCCACCUCAAAGCAAUCCUCCCGCCUCCCAAAGUGUUAGGAUUACAGGUGUGAGCCACUGCGCCCGACCAAGGAGGCAGAUUUAAGAAAUGGUUAAGAAGUAGAAUCAUUAAACUCACGUACCCCCUGAUGGCCCUGGGGGAGUAGGUGGAAAAGCAUACAAAUUGGACAGCACACUAUCUGAAACCACGUAAGGGCAUGGGUCCUUUUUUGACAAAUUAUUUUGAAUGAAAAAACUUUUGUUGAAAUAAUGUCCAGCAAGCAAAUUGUAGCUCUUUACAUCUGUUAACAAGGGUUUGAUUACAGACAUUCUUCAAUUUUUUAACAAAGGAAUGUAUAUUGUGAAUCAAAGGUGGAUUGAAGACAGAAAUGCAAUCCAAUCAUUCUGUGAGCACUUUCCAAUCAGACCUCCCCUUGUUGAAGAUGAAGCAGUCGUCAUUUAUGGACUAUUCCGAAUGACUAAGUAUUUACCUCUUGCUCAGAUAGCUUCCCUAGAAACACUUCCUUUGGUGUGAGCAACUUGGAUUUACUGCCAGGGCAACACCUCCCAUCCAACGCCCACACUGCCUCUUGGCUGGGUCCUCACCAGCAGGUGUUCAUAAGCAGUAUUUUGUUUUGCUUCUAUUAAGAGUGUAGGCUUUGAAAAGCAUCGUCUGAACGUAUCACCCAUUAUACUUUCACUUACAAGUGUUCUUAUGGGGAGAUCUGAAACCUUGGCGUCUCAAGGAUCAGGAAGACAAAGACUGCCUUUUCUCAUGCAAGGCCACACCUAUGUUUUCCAUUAGAAGGAGGGGCAGGCAAAUCCUGGGCAAGGUCAAAAUAUAAAGUCUCUCCCAGUGCAUGGCGGUGCACUCCCUGGGGAUCUGUUAAAACCUCUUUUGUGUGUUUUGGAAGGUGUUACGGUGAAACUGCCUGCUGCUAGCUGAGUUUGAGAACAGUGACCCUGACAAGUGCCUUACAGGAGUUUAUCAAGUGGAGAACACCAUUUAGAACACCACUCACUGAGAUGCAGCUCUUAUCUGUGCCUGUCAGUGAACAAUGUUCAAUCGCAGAUCACAGUUGUUAGCAGAGCUAAUUACAGCAGUCUCAGGUGAGAAGAAUCCCAGCAACUGCCUCUAAGGGACUUCCAUCACAGGGGCUUCGCAGGUAAGCAACGAAAAUAGCCCCUUGGGGGAUCUAUAAACAACAGUUCUCUGCAACUCUGAACAUGGACUCAUCCACAGUUGGUGAGAGAUCAUGUUCAAAAGAGAACCACCAAAGGGAGAAGGAGGAAAGGGAUGCUUAAAGCCAGGAAGGGAAAUGUUCUGGAUUAAAUAAGAGCAGAACUGGGUAUUUAUUAUUCCUUGGGCUGUCUGACUCACUGCAUAACCUUAUAAAGUCAUUUCCUCUUUCUGGGACUCACUGUUCUCAUCUCAAAAAUAAGGAUAGUAAUACCUGCCCUAUUUAUAUCACGGGAUUGCUGACAGAAUAAAAUAAAAUAAAAUAUGUAUUUUUAAAAAUAAAAGCUGGGGAAAACUAGAAAAUACAGCUUUAGGUAGAGUAACUGAUUCCCUUUGUCUUAUUUCACAUUUUACUUAUAAAUGAUGGAAGGGAACAACAACAAAUAUUGGUGCUAUUACAGAAUCCUAGAUUUCAGUUUCUCAUGCCUCCAGUUUUUUGUGGUUUGCACAUCUUCAGAUUUGCCUCUCCCUCCCCAAUUUGUUCUCAGCAUCAGUUCUGGGGUAAACUCAGGCUCCAGUUUGAGGAGGAGAGGAAGAUCCCAAGAAUCUGAAGAGGCCAAGCCCCUGUAUUUUUUUAGUCUCUUGUCUUUGUGUCUCCUGCUGCAGCCCACGUCUUGAGGGCCUCCUCCCAAGUCCUGAAGGUGAAUCCUGCCUGUGGGAUACCUGGUUUGCUGGGGACGUUGGCCCUGAAUGAGAAUUUCUAAUGUCAAAUUGGGACUUAAGAAGAUAUCUCUAGAACAGAACCAAAAAGAAUCUGUAACAACGUGCCCUAAACAUGUCUUAGGCUGGGUCUGUAACUACAUUCUUGUUCCUGCUGAAAAUCGCAGCAUCCUUCUA
rnacentral:lncRNA from 1 species